UGCAGCCCACAACUGUAAACCAGAGAGGAAAGAGUUUGUGGUGAUAUAUCCUGUAUCCUCCCAGCCAGUCACAUUAGUUGUAUACCUUACUUACUUUAAACACUUGUGUUAAUGAAAGUGAGCGUGUCAUACAACUGAGAGAACAGACUAAAUGGGAAAACAAUACAGAUGAUCCUGGAUGGUGACUGAGUGGCAGCUUACAUACAGUGAUACACACUCCCAGAGAUUAUUUUACGCUAUUCCAGUGACACAGUUGGUGACAUGAAAUGUAAAAACACACCAACGGCAAAGGAAAAGAUGACUGCUAGUGAGCAAACACUGAUGUAAACAAUGCAGGUUUUAAAUCAUUUUUAAAAUACUCUUUUAUAAAUGCAUUAUGUAGAAGGAAAUGCAUUCAACACAUUUUCUAGGCCUCAAGGAUACAAUGCGUUUUGUUGACUGAAUGUAGACAAAACAUUGUUUGCCUCCAGCAGAACUCCAUAGUGUACCUUUAAUUUGUUUACAUGACUGCAUCAAUUGACAAUUUUCUGUAAUAAUCCCGUUUUUCAUGACAAUCCAGAGAGACGUUUAGAGGUCUUUCAAAAAACAUGACUUAGUUAUUUACACACCCUCUUUUAAACUGAACUUUUUCCAAUCAUUGUAAGGCAUGAUGCAUGCAGCCUGGUGGGAAAACCCAGUUUUUAAAUGUUGAAACUUUUGGGUGAAAGAGCUGAAGACACAGAAUAAAGCAACGUUCCAUCUUCAGGGUCUGUUUUUCAAGAAUGUAGUAUAUGCAUACAUGAAUAAAUAAUAACUUCUUCAAUAGCGUUCUACUUUUCCAGAAUGUAUGUGAAUUUAUUAAUACACAAACACUACCCCACACACUGAUGUGGUGACUCUGUUAUAACCAUUUCACAUUUUAAAGAUGCAGCCUUUUUUGAUGAUAUACAGAAGAUAUGACUGUGAGAGAACCGUCCUUUUUAAGCGAGAAUUGUCCUUUGAACCUCAGUUUAAGAUGCUCUUGACUUUUAAGUCAGUUGCCAAGUGUGUGUGUGUGCGUGUGUGUGUGUGUGUGAGAUGAAAGAAGAGACAAAAGAAAAAAAGAGCCCAUUGCUUUAUAUACUGAAUAUAUAUGCAUGUUUAUGCACACAGGCCAGCCCUGCUUUUUUUUUAGACUUUAUCUUUUUGUUGUCUGUAUGAUUUAAGAAUUUGAAAUUGCAGUGUAUGGAAUGAUUGAACUUGCAGUUUGGUUUACAUGUUGCAUGUGACCCCUGAUUUCUCAGCAGGAGAAAAAAACAUUUAUAUGGAAAUGAAUUGUAUAUAUCCAUCAGCCUGGCAUUUAUGUAAUUGUGGCUUGGCUGGCAAAACAUUUUUUACUUUCACUUGAUGUCACGGCUGUCAUCCAUUCAUGCAUUCAUUUUGCAAGACUAAUUUUGUGCCAAUUUUGUAUAUAGUCAGCUUUAAAAGUUUGAAUUGAAUUUCUUGUGUGAAACCCAAUCAUAGACUUCUACAAAUAAAUCCACAGCCUGUAAUGAAUCUGUAGUUUCCUAUUUUUACCACACGGUAAGAAGAGCACUGUCUUUUGUCUUAAUCUCAGUUUUACUCCAGUUUACAGUGAAAGAAGACAAACUUCAAGCCUCAGGACAAUGAAAACAAGAUCAUUUAAAUUGGGGUGACCACAUGUCCUGAUUUACAGUCCUGGUUUUAAAUGGAGCAUCCAAGUGUCCUUAGGAAUCUCAUAAAUAUAUCAAUAUGUCCCGGUUUCAACUAGCUGUCUGUGCAAAAUACACACAAGAGUCAUGAUAGUUGUCAUUUUCCCACACAUAGCCUAGCACAAACUUGACUCACAGGCAUCAAAAUCGCCACAAAUUAGUUAUUUUAACUUUUUUCCUCUACUUCAGAAUCCUCUGGAUAGAAAAAAUAAUGUCUGAACUAAGCAAAUCAAAUUGCACAAGUUAAAAGCACAGAAGCGCACAACACACAAGUAACGUUAGCAUGAAAUUCCUGCUGUUUCAGUGUCACAAAAGUUAAGAGCACAAACGCACUCAUUCUGAUUAAUAUUCGUAAGCAUGUAUGAAAAUCCUGCUGCUUCCUCAAAAUAUAGGAGACAUGGGACUGCGAAAGCUUCCCAAGAACUAUCGACACAUUACUGAAUAACACACUCAGUAAUGUGAUUAGGCUACUUUACUUUUGCAGUAGUGUAAAUUCAGUAACUCUGUUACUCAGUGUGACAUCAAUGUGGUCUCUGCGUUCAGCUGAGAGAUCUGCCUGGUUAGCUUGGUGCAGGAGCUGGAGGUGAGCGGUUAGCCUCUCCAAAAAAGGAGAAUUGCAGCUCACAGUGAUUCCACAGUUGUUUCUAUAAGCCAAAAGUAGAAAAUUACCUGGUUGGGUUCAGAGUUGGAGGAUGUGUGAGCCCCACGGCUGUGAGGACUAGAGUGCAGUGUUGCCAACUUAGUCGCUAGAUUUAGUGACUUUUCAGACCCCUUUAGUGACUUUUUUCUCAAAAAAGCAGCUAUUGACAUAUCUAGUGACUUUUUGGAAGGAUCUUAACUCCUUUCCUUGAAGGGAGUCACCAGUAUUUCUCCAUGAAUGAGAGCUAAUGUGGCUCUCUGGACUGACUGUCAGUGGGUGGGACAGAGAAGCAGCACUUUCAGUGGAGCAAUCAUCAGCCAGACAGAGUCAUGAAUGAUCUGUGAAUGUGUAUACCUAAUGACCAAUCAUUGAUUCUCAUUGUUUUUAUUCUAAAUCAUUUAACUUUACUAUCUAAGUUUGAUUUUGUUCUGUCAAAACAGACAGAGUAAACAGUAGUGAAUUUAUUCCAGUGCAUGAUCAUCUCUCUAUUCAUGAUACUUCAGUUGAUAGUUGAUACAACAGCUUGCAUCAAACAGUUUUUUAGAUUGAGAUGCACAUUGAGGAGCUGCUUGAAGAAAUGGCUAAUGAUAUAGCUAGUUACAGUCAGUUUAGUUUAAUUUAACUUGAUUUUCUUUAGAUUUUUUAAAAUAUUGUAUGUAUGUUAUUACAUCAUGAUGUCACAGAUAUGCAAAUUAGCAUGUGACAUCAUCUAGCAACAUCUAAUGACUUUUCCUGCAGGCUUUAGCUACUUUCCACUGAAAAUAGUUGCUGCUAGAGUGCUGUUACAUGCAGUCACCAUGGAUAAAUGUUGAGCUAGCUACUGAUGGUCAGAAGAUAUCUCUAUAUUGUAGGGCUGCUUGUUAAACUGAAAGGCCUUAUUUUGUAUUCCUACUCGUUAAGUACAGAAGAUGCGACUUGUGGGUUAAGAAGAUUUGGAGUUGUUUAAACGCAUCUGUCACAGAACUGGACUGAGAAACAAAAAUGGCUAUACUUUUGCUGUUGCGUACUUAGUAAAGCAAUGUAAUUAAUUUUUCAGUGGGUUAUCUAUAAUGAGUAACUGAUAAAUCUGUUCAGGUAACCUAUCUAACAAUGUGUAUAACACAAAUACUGUGUCAAGUAUGCCACAUGUUCUUUCAUUUCGAGUGUCAAACACAGAUUUCCACAGUUGUUGCAGUGUUGGGUAAGACCGAUACAUGUGAAGCAAUGAACCCAUGUAUCACUUUCAUAUCGUUUUUUUCUCUCUCGCAAGUCAUUCUCUCUAGUAAAGUGACUUUAUGUGCACAGCUUAAUCUUCUUCCCCCACAGCCUCCUCCCCAUCAUUCCUCUGUUCCGACAAACCUAAAUAAACAAACUAAUGCAUGCACUUUGCAUUUUGUUUACUGCUUUUGCAAUAUUGUAAUGCAAGCAAUAAAGUCAGCGAAUAGAAUUUAAAGACAGAGAUUAAAUUGCGGCGAGAAAAACACGGCUGGUCUGAUGACGCUGAGGUGCUUUUUUCUUUGUUGUUGAGAAAGAGAUGUAGGAGGCGGAGAGAGAGAACAAAGAAAAGAAAAUUGACUGGAAAACGUACUGUCAUUAUAUACCUAUGGUUUAUGAGCCUCCUUAUUGUAGUUAACAACACAGUGUGAAGAGAGGCUGCUGAUGUGGACUACUCAUCUUAAUUCACAGUGGAAUGAUAAAAAAGGAAGGAGGCAACGAGUGAAGGAAGAAAAUUUGAUGAAAAGGAAAGAAAGUAUGAAGAUAGAAUAUAAAAAAGAAGGAAAAAUAAUAUGAAAAAAAUGGUAUAUAAAAAGGAACUAGAAAGGAGGAUGAGUCUGUGAUGUCAUCACCGACAGCACUGGCAAAGUAUUGUGAUUGGACAGCAAUUCUACAACUGUAGAGCAUUUGGAGCACUUGGAGAUAUACAGUAUAUAACUUAAAUAUUUCCUUUUUCAUUGUUUUUUAUACAAACCCCUGUAUGCUUUUAUUCAGUUCGUUAUACAAUAAAGUCAAGUCAAGAGUACAUUGAUUGUGUCAAUUCAAAAGGCUCGACAUGAUUAAUGCUUUGAAUGCUAGGGAUUUUUUGUUUGGCUUGUUUAUAAUUUUUUUAAUUUAUAGACUCAUGACAUAGUUGCUAUAUGUGUCACCCAGGCAUGCUAUAUAUUGUUUUUUUCAGAAAGUUAAGUGAUUCAGAAAUGUGAUCAUUUUGCAUGUGAGUAGUACAAUACAUGCUUCAGGUGACUUUUUAUGGAAAAAAAUUCAUUAUAGUGAAUCUGCUCCUUGCUUCUUGACUCUUCAAGUUUACACACAGGUAAGACUGUAGCUGUUAAAAGAUCUACAGGGUUACUUUUACUGGUGAAAAAGUCAAAUCUGUUGAAUAUGAACAAAGAUUUGUGAAAGGAGACUUUUUUCUAUGAUUUAGAAGUAGAUUUACUGAUGCUUAUCCUUGGCUGAAUCCUUGGCUGAGCCCAGACCUCAAGUGUUCUCAUGGAGAUGAAUUGAAAUUCCAGACCCUGUAACUCGAGUUUUUCUGAACAGUUUUUAAUGGUAUCGAUAUGUGCGGGUCUGCUGAUUUAAACAGCAGCUACAACAAAUCUGGUCAGAAUGCUUGGUGAUAUUUUCCCUUUUCGUGAACUGCUAAUUUAGUAGAUUAUAAUUUACAUAAACAAACAAAUCAACAUUAUUAAGCCUAUAGGCCUAUGAAUAUUCUGUGUGCAUUAUCAAACUUCACUACAUCAAUAAACUUAUGCAACAAAACUGAAAAAAGCUAAUGUCAUCAAAAGUGAAUAUGGUAGAUACCAUUAUGAUGAUGAUUAAGCGGAGAUCCAAGCGGAGUCUCUGGAAGUCUGCAGAAAGUCCGUUUUAGGCCCCUUGUGGACUUGAUAAAUUGUGGAUUCGGACAGACUUUGGCAAUCACAGACUUCCUGGGAACGCGCCCACAAAGUCCAAAACUCUGCAUGUGCGGUGAUGUCCAGACAUUUGGACUCAGCUCUUAACAUAUCUCAGAUCAGUGUACAUCUUUGCAAAGGGUAAAUUCCAUAGAUUUUUACAAUGUGUGAUUGAUGUGUGUACUCUGGUUUGACAGAGUUAUGGACAACAACGACCAAAAAGCAAAUAGUGCCAACAAUACUGCCUCACAAACAACACCAACCACAUAACUACAUAUGCACAAGUGCAGCAAAUUUUAAAUAUGUCAAAAUAUGUGAUGUAAUUAAACCACUAAGGAGUGUGAGAUCAGGGCGAGUGACAGUGAGAGAGACUUUGUGAGGUGAUCUGGGGUGUUUGUCUUAGUUGCUUAUCCAAACCCUUGUGCUUCUGGCUAGCAGAAUGACAUACAAGUACAUAUCUGCCCUCAAAUUUUUCACUUUGUGAAGCCAAGUUCUGAACUCCUGAUCUUCACACCACUUUUCCUUAAAUGUGCAAAAAUACUUGUUAGAGCCAAGAUCAAGCAAGAGCAUUUUUAGUUAUUCCAGGAGGCUUAAAUCAAUUCCAAGAGGUGGCUUUUUGACAUUAUGUGACCGAAGUAUUGAACUUUGGUCACAUGAUAACAAGUGGUCACAUAAGGAGAGAAGGUAAUCCCUGUGUCUGCUCAAAGAUGGCCUCUGAUAUUGGCUUUCGACCCCUUCCCACACCUGAAAAGUAAAGUUGGAGUGGUGUAUGACAUCAUAUGUUACAGUUGUGGGGAACACUACAUCAGUUACAUGACAACGACUCCAAGGAGUCUUAAAGAAACACAGAAACAGACAAUAUCAGCUCUCUGUGAACACCAGAACAAAACAGCAUCCACUGGGAAGAGGUCAAAAAAGAGGACAUUCACAUCUGACACCAGAAAACAUCUUUAAAUGAUUUUUCAUUCAACUGAUUUUUUCCAAAGUUCGAGAAUUCACUUCUACUCUCAACUUAAAUGUCACCUGCUUGACAGUUUAAUAAGUCACAAUUUGUUUGUGUUUUAAUAAACGAUUAUUGUUAGCUUGGCCAGAGGUUAUUAUGUUAUGUGCGAUGCCUAAAUGUUCUGCAAUUAUCAACCCAUUUUCUAAUGAAAAACCUUAAUGUAAUAUACUGCCAAACAAAGUCCCAUCGAAUCAUUUUUCAUUUCAUUUUCUUCAUUAUUUUCAGACUUCAACAGAGCAAAACAACACUGGUGGUAGUUUCUUAAUGUGCUGUUAAUGAAUAUGUAGAAUAUACACUGUGAUGGAGGUGUUGCAUGCAAUAUGACAGAAUAAUGCAUCAGCAACAGAAUCUGUGGUUUAGAAUUGUGAACCUCCACUGACAAACACCAAGUGUCAUCCAAAUUCUUUUUGGACAAUCCAGUCUUAGCGGUGACAGAAUGAUGAAGAGAAAAUAUGCACUGCAAGGGAUUUUGCCAUAUCCAAAAUGACAAGGAGUUGGUGUCAUCGCUGUCUUGCUUUCUUAAUGGAGGGUUGAUAUCAGUGUGGUCUCUGUGUUCAGCUGACAGACGGCUCCAGAGGAGGAGAAAUGCGACUUGUGUAAUUCCAAAGUUGUCUUAUUAACGUGUUGUGUGUUCUUAGCCGGCUUGCUAACAUUAUCCAUGGGUACGCCUACAUUCAGGAAUCACCUGACACUGGUUUAGUUCAGAGUUGGAGGGUGUGUGAAUCGUGCAGCUGAGGGCAGGACUUCUUGAGUGCCGUGUGCAGUCACUGAGGCUAUGCUAACGAGCUGUUGUUGUCAGUAAAUCCUUCCAAACUUUUUCCUGCCUGCUUGUUAAACCACAAAUAUCUUGUUUUCUUUCGACAUGUGUUAAAUUCAAAAGAUGCAACGUUUGGCUUUGGAGGAUUUUGAGUUUUUUAAAGGUGCUGACGGAGCUGACAGCUGAGUAACAAAAGUAAAGUAACGAAUAAUGUAACAUAUUUCUUUUGCUGCUGAGUGCAAAUGUUUCUUUGUUAGUUUUGUCAGACAUUUGCAUUUGUUCAAAAAAUGAAGUGUUCAAAUGUAGGCCUAAAGUAAGACAAUAUAACAACUAUCCUAGGUUAGUAAUUUAGGUGAGUGAUCAGUUGUCACAAAACCACAAUGUUCUGUGCUUCUGCUCUGAGAUUCUUUGUAAUUUUCCAUUGUCACUUGAAUUACAAUGUAAGCAAAUGGACGCCACAGUAGACUGACUCAAGACUAAUAAUAGUGAUCGCAAACACAAUUGAGUGUGUAUAUCUGUGUGUGUUGCUGCUGACAUGUAUAUUUCCUCUUGUUUGUGACAUUUGGAGUCUCAGCAUGUGUUUUCUCUGUGAAUACACAUCCAUGCUUCAAUGCUCGCAUGUGUGUCCUGUCAGUCAUGAUAAUGUUUAGGCAACAUGAUGUUGGAAAAAAGCUCCCAGCUAAUACACCUGAAGGGAGAAGCAUCACAGUAUUUUAGAGCUUCAUAAACUCUCAUGUUUGUAUUUGGAUAUUUCUCAUAUGUUCCUUUUUUUCUCUUCUCAGAAAAGAAAUUCCUGAUGUUUGUGUGACUCUGUGUAUGUCUUUGUAUUAAACUAUAUCUCAAGUAAUGAUCCAAGUCUUAAUGAUCGCCAACCUAAAACUGAAUUCAGGCACAAAAUAUAGUAAAUAUAUCCAAGAAACAAUGAUUUCAACAAUAUUGACAUCAUUGGGCCUCAUGUAUGAAUGUUUUCUUAUUUUUCUAUUAUAUUUAUAUAUAGUAUAAAGCAAUAAGAAGAAAAUAAGAAAAACCUAUGUGGGAUUCAUGAAAUGUGCACUGACAGCCAAGUCUGUUAUUACUCACCUGCGUAUGUUGAUGAAUUGUGUUUGAUCUUAAAUUGGAUGUGGCAGCAGACCUAGGUGCCGUGUGCAAACCACCAAACCAUCAAGCCACAGCAAUUUGAUGGGUAACAUUAAACUCAGACAAAAGAAGAAAGAAAAAAAGGAAAGGAAAAUGCCACCUAAGGGCAGCAAGAAGAAAAAAAAACUUUUCAUCUGCAAAGAUAGAAAGUCUACUUAAUUAAAUUUCGUUAAGGAAAAAAAACUUAUUUUCAAGUGUGAGCAGUGGGGUCACCAGUCCAGAAAAGCGCAAAGCAUGCACCAUUGAAAUUAAUGCUAUGUGUGCAGAAGAAAGAACUCUCAGAGAAUUUAAAAAAAAAAUGGCUUGAUCUGAAAACAGAUGCCAAAAAAACAACUGUCUGCUGCCAGGCAUACUAUUAAAGCCACGGGAGGGGGCCAGGAAACUGUCAAGACAACGGACGUGGAUGAAUGCUUCGGAGCCAUCAUUGGAGAGGUUUCUCUGUUGGGGGUGCAGUCUGAUAUUCCACUGGACAGUGACCUACCACAGCCAGGAAACAUCCCGACAGCAAACCCCAGGAUCAACUAGCACCAUCUGCAGACAAUGAUGCAUCUGGCACUGGUGCGCCAACCACCUCCCAGAGUGCACCUGGACCAUCAAGACGAUCCACCUGAGCAGAGAUCAUCUCGGAGUCGGUCCUACAAAAUCAAGAGAAGAUAUUAGAGACUCUUCAGCAUAUCUCUUCCGUUUUUUCACAGAUUAGAAAAUGAAACUUUUAAAAAACAAGAAAUAAAAACCAUUUAUCAAAUAAAUAUCAAUACAAUUUUUCUGCCUUGAGUACAGGUCGUUGCA